rnacentral:lncRNA from 1 species
CAAUUUUGCACAAUAUACAUUGUGGAUUUUAAUAUAAUGACGAUUUAACAGUACACAUGUUUGGAAGAUAGACGCGAAGUUGUCACUUAUCGUCCAGUGGCUAAUAUUUCAUGAAUGUUCAGGACUAUAGGCAAAACGCAAUUAUACGCUAAAAUAUUCGUUCCAUUGCUGCGGUGUAUCAUAUAUACACACUUAGGGGAGGAUGAAUAUUACCAGAGGAGAGGCGAUGAUUCAAAAGUUAUUAAACGAGCACCAGCAUAUGGCAAAGUAUGAAGAUAAUCUUUUUUGUUCAUUUUCAUUUUAUUAUUUUGAGCGUUGAAAAUUUUGAAUCAAGGACGUAUUUGUGUUUUAUUUUUUUCUUAUUUUUCUGUAAGUGAAGAAGACAAUGUAUUUGCUUUGACAUUUUCUGAGGUUAAACAGUGCAACAUUGUAAUAUUGAAGAGUAGGGGAGGGGUCGGUUUUUAGUCUUUUAGGGACAUUUUAUUCAUCGGACUACUAGAUGUAUUUAGGAUAUUUUGUAGUGUUACCUCCUCCGACCUGGUGGUAUCAUAUUUUAACCUAUCGUACGUCCCGAAAUUCUAAAUAUAUCUCAAGAAAAGUCCAAUUUAAUAAGUGUCGUUGCAUGUAGGAUAAUUGUCCGAAAUUCCACGACUAUUAUCUAAAUAUGUCAAAAUAAAGGAUCCCUAAAACGAGUCUUACGUAUGAUUCGUCAAGCAUACGUACCUUUCGUCAAUUUGUAAGAAAGCUCUAAUAA